rnacentral:rRNA from 1 species
CUACCCAAGGGUAUAGAAUAACUCAGAGAAAUCUGGGCUAAUACUGUAUAAUGCAGCGGCAUCGCAUGGUGAUGUUGUUAAAGCUAUUUAUAGCGCCUUUGGAUGAGCUUGCAUCUGAUUAGCUAGUUGGUAAGGUAAAAGCUUACCAAGGCUACGAUCAGUAGCUGGUCUGAGAGGAUGAUCAGCCACACUGGAACUGAGACACGGUCCAG